CCUACGGGAGGCAGCAGUGAGGAAUAUUGGUCAAUGGACGCAAGUCUGAACCAGCCAUGCCGCGUGCAGGAAGACGGCUCUAUGAGUUGUAAACUGCUUUUGUACGAGGGUAAACGCAGAUACGCGUAUCUGUCUGAAAGUAUCGUACGAAUAAGGAUCGGCUAACUCCGUGCCAGCAGCCGCGGUAAUACGGAGGAUUCAAGCGUUAUCCGGAUUUAUUGGGUUAAAGGGGUGCGUAGGCGGAUUUUUAAGUCAGCGGUAAAAUCCGAGGGCUAAACCCGGGACGGCCGUUGAAACUGGGUGGCUAGAGUGUAGGAGAGGUAGGCGGAAUGCGUGGUGUAGCGGUGAAAUGCAUAGAUAUCACGCAGAACUCCGAUUGCGAAGGCAGCUUACCGG
rnacentral:rRNA from 1 species